GGUGGGAUUUGUUUCCGUCCAGCUUGUUGUUGGCCCGUCAAAAUAUCUCCACUACCGAGGGUAGAUUCGACAUUUCCUCCCGCGUCGUUUCGGCCGGUGAGUGCGCUCGGCCGCUGUCGGCACGACAUUCGCGGAGGAGCUCUGCCUGGGAGAGAGGCCCUUUUAGUGCGCCGGCGUCGACCCCCGUGCCCAUCCGCCUCACUUCUCCCUCGCCGCUCUACCUUCACCCACGCUGUCCUCUCCUGCUCGCCUAGUCCGCCCGGUCGCUGCGCCGUCGAUCCGCCGCGCCCGUGUCAACCGCUUACUCAGCGUCGUCGGCGGCCGCAUGCGUGCUCCAUGGCGGCGCUAUGCCGUGAGCUUGGUUGAGGUCGUCGUCUCGCUGGGAUUGCCGCGUGGGGUUGAGCGGCUGCAUCUGUUGGAUUUCUGCUCGCCUGUACUGUCGGUUAUUUGCUGCUGUGAGCUGUUCUUGGAACCGUACGUGAGUUGUUGCUGGGAGUCCUUGUUUGUCAGGCGAAACUGAUCAAGCUGAGCAGCAUUAUAAUAGAUGCAAAAUCUAUGGUUACUGGGGCAGGACACCGAGCUAAGGAAGCAAUAUUUGCACCAAGAUAGAUAAAACUCGGUAUUUAUGCUUAUGGAAUAAAAGGCUUCACCCCAUGUUCAUUCACAGCUAACUCCUGGUUCUACAGAGAUAACUCCUGCAUGGUGAGAAGAUCUUCACUAAAGGCAUGGUUUGAAGGGCUAUACCAUUAUCUGGUGAAGACCAUCAGUGAUCAGAACUAUAGGGCCAACCCUGCAUGUGUCAGGUAUAAUAUCUAUGACAUUUAUCUAAUACAGGUAAGAUGCUUUUUUGUGUACAAUGAAAUUUUUUUGAAGUGUUUGCCUUCUUUAAUUUCUACACAAUUAAUAAGGUACAAUGAUUAUAAAAUUGGAUGACAAGUACCGCAACAUUAAAAAUGAACGCUGUGAAGCUGAAAGUUUUUUUUCAUUGUAAUGUGCUUCAGUGCUUUUUAAAAUUCGAGACUCACCACCUAUCUUUAUAACAGGGGUUCCUUCCCCUGUUGGUUUGUUUUUGAUCUUCCAAAAAAAGGAAAUCAAUCAUGAGCAAGUUCUUGAUAAAAGAUAGGUUGUCGUUCAGGUGUGUUUAUGUACUAUCAUACCUAAGGCCUGGUUUGGUUAUAACAAGCAGCUCCGCUAUUAGUUAAUAUAUAUAAGCCGAUCCUCAAUAGGUACUAAUUUCCUAGAAAAUUUGGCUUAACAAUUUUGCCAGCAAAUGAUAUGUGUGAGUUGCAAAAAUAACACAAUAAUUUCUUAUUUAAUGUGUGAACUAAGCCAAGGGAGAUGACCAUAAAAAGACAGAGCGGCUAUUUAUGAAUAUAAUUUGGCUGACUACAAAUUCAACUUGCUUCGUAGUUACUUUGGUUCCACAUAUAUUUACAUUUUAGCCUACUUUGUCCAGUGGCUCAAAGUAGACCCAUGUCCCUCUUUCCAAUAACUUUUUAUUUGUUGUUAGACUGAGCUACAACAUUUAGUUUGUACACAGUUUUGGUGAGCAGUGCUUUUGUUUACACAAUUAGUACUCUUUUCUAUAUGGCAUAAAGUCUUUCCUGGGCCCUGCACCGCCUCACGUGGCAUUGUGUUUGGCUAGGGUAACCCGAGUUUUAAAUGAGGUAUGUCACGUUGCUUCUAUUUGUCUGUUGAUGCAAAGUUCAUUAUUUUUGUUCCUAGAAUAAUCUGUGGAUAAGAAAGAUAGAAAGUAUUAUAGCAACCAUUUACAUCAACAUUCUUUAAGACUCUGAGUUCCUUCUUAGUCAAUGAAGGAUCAAACUGUAAAACCUGUGAGAAAAUUUUAAGAUUUUGGAGUACAAAAAUUACAGUAUAUCAUGGUUUUCAAGAAGCACUAAAAAAAAUUGCUAAAGACUUGAAGUGUUCAUUUAAAAAAUAAUCCGUAUAGAUAGAUUCAUUAUUUUAUCUUUGAAUAUACAUAGAUACAUCAUUUUAUCUUUGGUUAGGCUUGAAACAUUUAUUUUUGUAGUCUUUUAUUUUCUUAUUCCUGAAAGAUAAUUCAUCUUACUUGAUUUCUCUACUUCCCUGUCUAUCUUCUUUAUCCUGGAGAAAUAACUUUGUACUUGAUUUCUCUACUCUCCCAUUUAUCCUUGCUGAAAAGAAGAAUUUUUAUUAUCUCUAAAAGGCUCGUUGGAUGCACCAUCGUUAGACAUUACAGUAUAUACCCCACUUUGGGAAAUUUGCUGCAUUGCUUGGUUUCACUUUGUUCAGUAGUCUCAUGUUCUAUCUGCAGCUACUAAGCAUUGUGUAUCUUAACAACUUUAUUGUUGAGGGGUGUUUUAUUUUUGUGAUACCCACAACCUGCAGGUUGGAGGGGCCCGUGCAUUAUAAUAGCCAUAUGGGCAAACAUACAGAUUGUAGAUUUUCCUCUACUACUUCUUUAGAGCAUGGGUGUUCGUUGGAUAUACUGCCCAUAAGAAAAUGUGCUUUAUAUUGAUGGGCGCUUAAGGAAACCGCAUGGCUGUCCUCAAGGAUCAAAUUAAUGAAGAUGAUGAUGAUAUAUCAUUAUUUCUCUUUUGGGACAACGAAUCAGAAGUAGUAUAUGCCAUACUGCAAUUCUUGUCAUAGCAGGUGACAAAAGGAGGAUCUAUUCUAUUUGGACUUGCUAAUUAUUAAUCCGCCUUGAUGGAUCUUAUGUACGAACCUGGAGGGAGAGGGGUCUUAAUAUGAGCAACGUCCAGUGAGUUGUGUUGAUGUACUACCAGAAAACAAAAGAAAAGAUCCAUUAAUAUCUUAAAAUUGUAGAGUUUUUCUCAUUUAUUUUUAAGUGUAUUACAGAAUGAUCAUCACUACAUUUUCGUAAGCAUACGAAAAUUAGUAUCAUUUUCCAACUUAUACACGAACUUCACGGGA